rnacentral:misc_RNA from 1 species
GAUGAAGAACGUAGCGAAAUGCGAUACGUAAUGCGAAUUGCAGAAUUCAGUGAGUCAUCGAAUCUUUGAACGCACAUUGCGCCCCCUGGUAUUCCGGGGGGCAUGCCUGUCCGAGCGUCAUUGCUGCCCUCAAGCACGGCUUGUGUGUUGGGCCUCCGUCCUCCUCCCGGGGGACGGGCCCGAAAGGCAGCGGCGGCACCGCGUCCGGUCCUCGAGCGUAUGGGGCUUCGUCACCCGCUCUUGUAGGCCCGGCCGGCGCUUGCCGACACAUCAAUCUUUUUUCCAGGUUGACCUCGGAUCAGGUAGGGAUACCCGCUGAACUUAAGCAUAUCAAUAAGCGGAGGA